rnacentral:rRNA from 1 species
GUUGGAUUAGCUAGUUGGUGAGGUAACGGCUCACCAAGGCGAUGAUCCAUAGCUGGUCUGAGAGGACGAUCAGCCACACUGGGACUGAGACACGGCCCAGACUCCUACGGGAGGCAGCAGUGGGGAAUAUUGGACAAUGGGCGCAAGCCUGAUCCAGCCAUGCCGCGUGAGUGAUGAAGGCCUUAGGGUUGUAAAGCUCUUUUACCAGGGAAGAUAAUGACGGUACCUGGAGAAUAAGCCCCGGCUAACUUCGUGCCAGCAGCCGCGGUAAUACGAAGGGGGCUAGCGUUGCUCGGAAUCACUGGGCGUAAAGCGCACGUAGGUGGAUUUCUAAGUCAGGGGUGAAAUCCUGGAGCUCAACUCCGGAACUGCCUUUGAUACUGGAAAUCUUGAGUCCGGGAGAGGUGGGUGGAACUGCGAGUGUAGAGGUGAAAUUCGUAGAUAUUCGCAAGAACACCAGUGGCGAAGGCGGCUCACUGG